rnacentral:rRNA from 1 species
CCUACGGGUGGCAGCAGGGAGGAAUAUUGGUCAAUGGCCGGAAGGCUGAACCAGCCAAGUCGCGGGAAGGAAGAAGGAUCUAUGGGUUGUAAACUUCGUUUAUAGGGGAAUAAAGGCAGCCACGUGUGGAUAUUUGCAUGUACCCUAUGAAUAAGCAUCGGCUAACUCCGUGCCAGCAGCCGCGGUAAUACGGAGGAUGCGAGCGUUAUCCGGAUUUAUUGGGUUUAAAGGGUGCGUAGGUUGUUUUUUAAGUCAGCGGUGAAAGUUUGUGGCUCAACCAUAAAAUUGCCGUUGAAACGGGGAGACUUGAGUGUGUUUGAGGUAGGCGGAAUGCGUGGUGUAGCGGUGAAAUGCCUAGAUAUCCCGCAGAACUCCGAUUGCGAAGGCCGCUUACUAAGCCAUAACUGACCCUGACGCACGAAAGCGUGGGGAUCAAACCGGAUUAGAUACCCGGGUAGUC